AUGAGAACUUGCCCUCCGGGGUAGAUCUCCCACCCUUUGUAUAUCUUACCUUUGUUGCUUUGUCGGGCCCGUCCCCCGGGACCGCCGGCUUCGGCUGGCCAGUGCUCGACAGAGGACCCAAAACUCUGAAUGUUAAUGUCGUCUGAGUACUAUAUAAUAGUUA
rnacentral:misc_RNA from 1 species